CACCAGUUUCUAUCCUUAUCAGUGCAGCAGUAUUUGCUCUUGCUCAUCUCACACCUGGAGAAUUUCCUCAGCUGUUUGCGUUGGGAAAACAUCUGAAGAUCCAUGCUUGUCGCUCUUUGGGGGAUUUAUUUGUUGUGAAGAUUUAGAACUUAAUCGUCUCAAAAGAGACAUUUUGACCUUUUGAUUAAGUAGUAGCUCUUUGUUUUAAUCAUGGAGGAUUUGUGAUAUGUGCUUAAUUUGGUAAGUUUUUGUGUAAAACUUGUGAAGAAUUAUCUCAAUCCUAUUGCUAUAAUAUUGUUAUUCGUUGUAAUGAAUUGUUCAUUAUAUUAAGGCUAAAGUUUGGUUA